GACAGAGGUGCCAAGCGUUAGGCGGAAUCACUGGGCUUAAAGCGUGUGUAGGCGGAUUUGUAAGUACCUUGUGAAAUCCCACGGCUCAACCGUGGAACUGCUCGGUAUACUGCUUAUCUUGAGCCACUUAGGGGCUACCGGAACAAAUGGUGGAGCGGUGAAAUGCGUAGAUAUCAUUUGGAACGCCAAUGGUGAGAACAGGUAGCUGGGAGUGUGCUGACGCUGGGACACGAAAGCCAGGGGAGCGAACGGG
rnacentral:rRNA from 1 species